GAAAAUUGUAACUGUAAUAAUAGAUAAUCAUAGGGAAGAAGAGCAAUUGAGCAAAACAAGAUCUGGGGAUGGACCAAAAUAUAAAAUUACAGAGAAGACUACAACUCAAGUUACACAAAUCCUAUAUAUCUCAAUAAUCCUUGCAGUUAGUUUAAACACAAGCUAUAAUGAAAAUUCAUGCAUCAUGCUUUCCAUAUAAAUAUAUAUAUGGGCCAAUUGAUCUUAAGAAAUUCAAGGUAUAUGAACAGGCAGUAGGACUAAUCCCCUUUUUGGUGUUGAAGGCUAGUUUGAAUUCAAGAAUUCUCUUCCAUUCAUGGCCAGCUUUCAAUGUGUGACUUCUAUGAGGUGGAUCACUUGCCAGUGAUAUGGCCACGUUAUUAAAAUUCGAGGGUGCCAGUUUUGGAGGACCCAGAACAACUACCAGAUGUUCCAUACGACGCCCCACUUGAACCAUCAAUAGGAGCUUGAUUUAGACAUUCUAAAACCAAAAACCUUCGCUUUUGCAAUUUUAUUGAGAAUGUUGUUGCCUCAAGAAUCAAAGGAACCUGAGUAUUGGUUCGCGCUACUUUGUGUACAUUAAGGAAGCCGACCAUGUCUUGGUAACCAGUAAGGAGUUUUGCCAAUUCCUUAUCAUCAUCUGGGAUUGCUCUCACGGAAAGUAAAAUGUCUGCCAUGUGCUGCCAUCUUUUACAGAAGGAUUCUGAAAGAAGAGAAGGUGGAAAGGUAACAACAGCAACUGCAUUUGCAGACCACAGCAUGCUUUUCAGAUAACUAAUAAAGGAAAGCACAUCCCAUUCCAUGUUGGAAUGUGUACACUGUGGAGCACAUAAUGACUGAAUUGCAAUACGACCAACCGAAGAAAUACUGCCAUCAUUUCUACGAAAUUGAGCUAAAAAUGUGGUGCAACGGUCCUGCAAAGCAACAAGAUUUGGAGAAUCUUUGACACUAACACAAUCCACACGUUGUCCACUAAAAAAAUGCCUCUCCAAUGGCUUCCGCAAGUCAAAGUCAUUACAGAACUCUUGCUUACUACCUCUGUGUCCAUCAAAACUCUGCUGAUUUUCGCCAAAAUACUUCUUAUACUGCCAAGCUAUUCUUAAUCCCUUCUCCUGUUCUGGAUCAUGAUUUCGCAAUUUGUCAUCUUUUGAUGAGGGGCAAGGCAAUGUACCCAAAAAUCCUCUCGGGUCUUUGGAUGGACUAGCAUAAAGAAGGGGUUGGUUCUGAACAAGUCCUUGAGACAUAAAAUUCCUCAACAGAAGCAUGUGAUGAGGUGCUUCUGCAUCCUCCAUCACCAUAACUAGACUUCCCAAAGGAAUCCCACCACCAAGUAUCUUGUCAAGAUCAGAUAUCCCAGAAGAAACAAAGAAUGUGCCAUUGGGUCCACAUUUGAUUCCGGGGGUCUGAGAAGAAGAUGCACUCAAUACGUUGCGAGUGAAGCUACUGGUCCGGCUCUUAGUCGCAGACAUUAGUGAAUCAACAAGUGAAACUCUCUCUCUCUCACUAGGUUUCACAAUACCAGUAACUCUGAAAGUGCAAUUCCCAGUUGGUAACAAAAUCAAUAUGAAAUCGAUUACAAUUCUCAAGUAUAUCCAAGAGAAAAUUUCAAUAAAGAAAGUAGCACCAGUUCACAUUCGCUUUUCAUCGAAUAGCUGGUAUGCAAUAGAUAUAAGCCUAUCUGUUAAAACAAAACUAGAUAUUAACAGCACAAUAAAUAAAAAUUCUGAUUUUUUUUCUCUUGUUUUCGCUCGCUUUCUCAGUAGCCAAACGGAUGCCUAUAGUUUAAAAGGUCUCACCUAGUCCCCUUCUAGCGCCAAAGGGAUUGCUCCGCGACAGAGGUUUCUCUUCGCUUUCUUCAAAUUCUGCUGAAGGGUCUUUCAGCGAAAAC
rnacentral:misc_RNA from 1 species